rnacentral:pre_miRNA from 1 species
GGUACUUAGGGAGAAGUUGCCCGUGUCUUUUUCGCUGUAUUUGUGACGAAACAUUCGCGGUGCACUUCUUUUUCAGUAUC